rnacentral:misc_RNA from 1 species
GAGUUACCCGUAUGUUGGCGAGCGUAGACGAAUGUAGUGCAGCGGUCGCGAAGGAAGAUUGUGCAUGUUCUUCUCUACGAUUUUCCUCUCGACGUGUUGCAGCAGAUAUUCGGUACGGUUAAUUUUACUAAUUACUAAUCUCGUGAAAUAUUCGUCGAUGGUUUUACCAAAUUCUGACUUAAAUUAAUACGAAAAUCGAAAAUAAACUGAACCGUUAACGGUCAUUUACAAGUUGAUCGACCUGCUUUCCGUUCCAUGGCAAAUCAACUGACAUUUUUACAGGACUCGAAGGCUAAAAUUUUUUAAAAUAGUGGGAUGUUUUAGUUGUUCAGAGGCGCUAAGAGGUCACAGACAUCGAACGGCAAAAUGAAUAGGACGUCAUUAGCUGCAAGUCCAACACUCAGUGAUCAAACAAUCAGGUUUCGAGAAUGUAUGAUGUCGAGAUUGAACAAAGCAUUACUGCAAGUCUCUCCCAGCUAUCCUAUACUUGAACAUUUACCUCUGAAAAGUGAUCAUUCUAGUUGUGAUAAAAGGGUUAGUCAAAUGGAACGUGACAACGCAGCUUCGAAUAUACGAUUGCUCAAUAUUUUCUACGGUUACACGUCCUCUACCUUCGCCCUCGCCCUUCAUAUACUCGACAGGCUACUCGCUACUAUGCAAGAUAUUGAAAGCCGACAUUUGUCGGCAUUGGCAACUACUUGUUUUUACAUGGCAGCAAAAGUAACGGAAGAGGAACAAGCCGUACCAAACUUAUCGCACCUAAUUCGCAUAUCUCAGUGUUCCGCAACACCCAACGAUAUUCUUGCAAUGGAGAGAAAUAUUAUUUAUUGCUUAAGAGGUCCUUUCUUCGUUGCUCCCACGCCGUAUCUCUUCUUGUUCUAUUUCAAUGAAAUCCUCGUUUCUUCGACCAAUGCUCAUUUAUUGCCUGAGGAUUUAUACCCUUGUCUUUGUGCCAAAGUAGAGGUGCUUAUGUGCAAUGCGAAAUUCAACUCUUUUCACCCUUAUCGCGUUGCCCUGACUUUACUAGAAAUAGAACUGAGAGAACGUGAUCUGCUGCUACUAUUUGACGGUAUUAUAUCCGAUUUGUACCAGUUCUUUCAGACGGACGCGGAAAGUCUUGAACAAUGUGAAAGCGCAGCAAAACAAGUACUGGAAAAUUAUAAAACCAGUAGGAUCAAGCGACCUAAGAACAACUUGAAUUGGGCUGUUUCAAAGCGUACUCUGUCAAAAUUAAGACCAAGUGCGAGGUUAAUGCAUGAUCUGGAAACUAUUGCUGAAGAUGACUCGAUUCCCCAGGAUGUUAUGUUCCGCACACCGCUCAAUUCUGAGGGCGAAAGCGAACCUCGUACGCCAGAACCCGAACACGAUUAAUUUGCGCUUCGAUUAAACAGGUUUCGUUCAUUGUGAUAAGUUUGUGAUAGACUGCACUAUUUUUCUCCUUUUUUCGCUGUCUCUGCAUGUAUGUGGACAAGAAUGAAAGUGUUGCUAGUAAUAAUGUCAGUAUUCACACCUGAAUCAACAUUCCUCGAUAUGUAGUAGAUAUUUUACAGAGUAUAAUAGUGUGUCAGGAAUAUUAGCGUUCUGCUGAUUUGUGUCGUUUAAAUUGUGCCAAUGUUAAAGACUUGCGUGAUUGCUUCCUGCAAAAUUUCUCACCGUAGUGCUAAAAAUUGUGCGAAUGUGUGUUAUAGUAGCGGUGCUUACGUUAUAUUUUUCAUGAGAUUCUAAUAGGCUCAUUCAGUGUUCACUAUAUUUGCCUAACAGAAUGCAAGUGUAAUUGGGUUUAUAGGGUUAAGGCGUAACUGUUUCUAGUCCGUAAGAUGUUCUCGGUCACAGUAUGAUCAAAAUACUUCUUUAGUGCUACCUUACUUUUUAGUGUUCAUAUCAACUCGGCAACAUCUCAUGUCUAGUCUGUAUAACUAAGUUGUAAAAAAAAUACGAGAUCGUGCAUACUAUAAACUGUGCGAUUCCCGCUCUGACAUAUAGUAUUCGACUAUCUAUUUGCUCAUUCAAAAUUUUAAUACGCUGAUCGCAUCCUUGUUUCUAUGCAUUUCAAAGUAGCGGACAGUGUUUUACUCUCUAGUAAAAUUUCCUGUAUUAGUAAGAAUGAAUGUCGCUAUUUGGUGUGCAUUUUUUUGUUUAUUUUUGCCAUUUAUGAAGAUUGUAUGAUUUUUUUGUUGCGUGUCAUACUUGUAGAAGAUGUAUUAGCAGCGUGCGCGAGAAUCCGUAUGCAUUAUUUUACUGAGAUAUGCUGUAGUUGCCUUUGUCCGUUCGUAUUACAUAUGCAUCGAUCGUAUUAUGACAUAUUUGAUUAGCGUAAAUUUUAGAGCUGCUGCAAUGUAGAAAUCUCAAAUCUUGUCGAUCUUGUGAUACGGAUACACGUUUGUGGUUUGAUGUUGUGAUGAAAGUUGGUGCAAAAAUACUGCACACGACACUUACCUACUAAAUACUUACCGUAUACAUAGAUCUAUAAAUAUAUAUUUAUGUAUAUCGUACGUACUCUUUUUUUACGUACAUAUACAUAACGUUAUGUUCCUACC